UUUUUCUUUUUUUUCUUUUCGUCUUCUUUUUUUUUUUUUUCCCGAGGAUGCCCCAAACCCCCGUGUUCACAUAGACUGAGCAAUUCUCAACACACAGUGUAAUAAUGAGCUUUAAUUCUCUAUCCAAGCAGAACUUGAGCAAUAAUAAUAAGCACAUCAGAACAAUUUGUUUACUGUGGCAUUGCACAGGCUGCAGGGUCCAAGACUAGCUACAAUAAACGGUAAAAACCAAAGGAAAAGCCCUAGAACAGGAAAAAUAUUGCGAUAGAAACGUGGUUUUGGCUUUCAAGGAAAGAGGCACUUGACUAGCAUUGUAGCUCGGAUAUUUUGCCCUUUUCCAAGGUGAAGUCCUGCCACGUGGAGAGAAGCGCUGGAAACCUGCCUCCAGUUUUCUCUCACUUCAGGAAGGUAGUGCUUCUCAGGAAGUUUUCUUGAACAAGGCUGGGCAAUGUGGAUUGGAUGAAGAGAUUCUGCAAACCCCCAGUGACAACAGGAGAGGAGUAGUGGAUCCAGUGCCAGUUUGAACUAGCAAUGGGUUGGGCUCGUGGAUGGUCAGCCUUGCAGCCGGCCGCUGCUAAAUUGUCAUUCCUGUCCUGGAUAGCAGAACUGGUAUUACCCGGGUCCAGUCUCAGAUGACCCAAAGCAAAGAGGAGCAGGGAGGUGGGAUGGCAUUCAGGAGGACCAUGGUGGCCUGGAAGGAGAGAUGUGCAAUGGUAGCGUGAUGCAACCAGGGAUGGGAUGAAGCACAGCCAGGUGGGUGCCAUGCCCCCAUUUGGAUGUUUUGCUUCAGGAGCAACAGAGAGGCUUGAAGAGCCUUCAGAGCUGAGUGCUGAAAAUUACGAAAGACCUGGAAAAUACAAUUUAUGAGGAACAGAUCAAUGACCUGGAGUUGCUAAGCUUAAAGAGGAGAAGGUGCUGAGGAGGAAGAGACUAUGACAACCUUCAAGUACAUUAAAGAUGGUGAUAAAGGGGGAA